rnacentral:rRNA from 1 species
GACGAACGCUGGCGGCGUGCUUAACACAUGCAAGUCGAACGGAAAGGCCCUGCUUUUGUGGGGUGCUCGAGUGGCGAACGGGUGAGUAACACGUGAGUAACCUGCCCUUGACUUUGGGAUAACUUCAGGAAACUGGGGCUAAUACCGGAUAGGAGCUCCUGCUGCAUGGUGGGGGUUGGAAAGUUUCGGCGGUUGGGGAUGGACUCGCGGCUUAUCAGCUUGUUGGUGGGGUAGUGGCUUACCAAGGCUUUGACGGGUAGCCGGCCUGAGAGGGUGACCGGCCACAUUGGGACUGAGAUACGGCCCAGACUCCUACGGGAGGCAGCAGUGGGGAAUAUUGCACAAUGGGCGGAAGCCUGAUGCAGCAACGCCGCGUGCGGGAUGACGGCCUUCGGGUUGUAAACCGCUUUCGCCUGUGACGAAGCGUGAGUGACGGUAAUGGGUAAAGAAGCACCGGCUAACUACGUGCCAGCAGCCGCGGUGAUACGUAGGGUGCGAGCGUUGUCCGGAUUUAUUGGGCGUAAAGGGCUCGUAGGUGGUUGAUCGCGUCGGAAGUGUAAUCUUGGGGCUUAACCCUGAGCGUGCUUUCGAUACGGGUUGACUUGAGGAAGGUAGGGGAGAAUGGAAUUCCUGGUGGAGCGGUGGAAUGCGCAGAUAUCAGGAGGAACACCAGUGGCGAAGGCGGUUCCCUGGGCCUUUCCUGACGCUGAGGAGCGAAAGCGUGGGGAGCGAACAGGCUUAGAUACCCUGGUAGUCCACGCUGUAAACGGUGGGUACUAGGUGUGGGGUCCAUUCCACGGGUUCCGUGCCGUAGCUAACGCUUUAAGUACCCCGCCUGGGGAGUACGGCCGCAAGGCUAAAACUCAAAGGAAUUGACGGGGCCCCGCACAAGCGGCGGAGCAUGCGGAUUAAUUCGAUGCAACGCGUAGAACCUUACCUGGGUUUGACAUGGAUCGGGAGUGCUCAGAGAUGGGUGUGCCUCUUUUGGGGUCGGUUCACAGGUGGUGCAUGCCUGUCGUCAGCUCGUGUCGUGAGAUGUUGGGUUAAGUCCCGCAACGAGCGCAACCCUUGUUCACUGUUGCCAGCACGUUAUGGUGGGGACUCAGUGGAGACCGCCGGGGUCAACUCGGAGGAAGGUGGGGAUGACGUCAAGUCAUCAUGCCCCUUAUGUCCAGGGCUUCACGCAUGCUACAAUGGCUGGUACAGAGAGUGGCGAGCCUGUGAGGGUGAGCGAAUCUCGGAAAGCCGGUCUCAGUUCGGAUUGGGGUCUGCAACUCGACCUCAUGGAGUCGGAGUCGCUAGUAAUCGCAGAUCAGCAACGCUGCGGUGAAUACGUUCCCGGG